AUUGAACGCUGGCGGCAGGCCUAACACAUGCAAGUCGAGCGGAUGAAGGGAGCUUGCUCCUGGAUUCAGCGGCGGACGGGUGGGUAAUGCAUAGGAAUCUGCCUGGUCGUGGGGGAUAACGUCCGGAAACGGGCGCUAAUACCGCAUACGUCCUGAGGGAGAAAGGGGGGGAUCUUCGGACCUCGCGCUAUCAGAUGAGCCUAGGCCGGAUUAGCUAGUUGGUGGGGUAACGGCCUACCAAGGCGACGAUCCGUAACUGGCCUGAGAGGAUGAUCAGCCACACUGGAACUGAGACACGGUCCAGACUCCUACGGGAGGCAGCAGUGGGGAAUCUUGCACAAUGGGCGAAAGCCUGACCCAGCCAUGCCGCGUGUGUGAAGAAGGUCUUCGGAUUGUAAAGCACUUUUAUUUGGGAGGAAGGGCAGUAAGUUAAUCCCUGGCCGUCUUGACGUUACCAACAGAAUAAGCACCGGCUAACUUCGUG
rnacentral:rRNA from 1 species